rnacentral:rRNA from 1 species
ACGGGUGAGUAAUGCCUAGGAAUCUGCCUGAUAGUGGGGGAUAACGUUCGGAAACGGACGCUAAUACCGCAUACGUCCUACGGGAGAAAGCAGGGGACCUUCGGGCCUUGCGCUAUCAGAUGAGCCUAGGUCGGAUUAGCUAGUUGGUGAGGUAAAGGCUCACCAAGGCGACGAUCCGUAACUGGUCUGAGAGGAUGAUCAGUCACACUGGAACUGAGACACGGUCCAGACUCCUACGGGAGGCAGCAGUGGGGAAUAUUGGACAAUGGGCGAAAGCCUGAUCCAGCCAUGCCGCGUGUGUGAAGAAGGUCUUCGGAUUGUAAAGCACUUUAAGUUGGGAGGAAGGGUCGUUACCUAAUACGUGACGAUUUUGACGUUACCGACAGAAUAAGCACCGGCUAACUCUGUGCCAGCAGCCGCGGUAAUACAGAGGGUGCAAGCGUUAAUCGGAAUUACUGGGCGUAAAGCGCGCGUAGGUGGUUUGUUAAGUUGAAUGUGAAAUCCCCGGGCUCAACCUGGGAACUGCAUCCAAAACUGGCAAGCUAGAGUAGGGCAGAGGGUGGUGGAAUUUCCUGUGUAGCGGUG